rnacentral:lncRNA from 1 species
CUAGUUUCCAGAAAGAUAAAGAAAUCGUAAUUUGGAUAUUUGUAGAGAAAGUUAUGAUUGAUUAAAGAUGACUGGUGGAGCAGUUUCUCCAGAAAUUUUCUGAUUUUAUGGAGCCGAUUUAGAAGCUCAUAUCUCGGGAUAUAUAAAGAGUUAUAUGGUGCCUAUCAAAUUAAAGAUCUUUGAGUCUAGUUUCUAAAUCUUUAAACUGUUUGUCAUUUGGAUAUUUAUACAAGACGUUAUGGGUGUUUAAACAGAAGGUGUCCGACAAGGAAUAAUUUUAAUAGGAUGUACAACUUGUAUAGCACAAGUGCAAGGUACAACUCGACGAAGCACAGGCAGAUUCUUUUAAACACGGAUUUGGCUUAUUUCUUUCAUUUCUUUCAUUUGGCUUGGAUUAUUUUGGAGAGAAUUUCAAGGGGGAUUUCAUCAAGCAUCAAAGGUGAGUUGUUUCUACUUAUUUCCAAGUUAAAUACAUGGAUUAGAGCUAAAAACUCAAGUAAUUUAUGGACAAAAAUGGUGGUUUAGGGCUUGAAACUUAAGAGAAUUAAAUGGCGAUUUGAGGGGUCAAAUGAACUCCGAUUUUUGUGAAUUUGCUAUGUAUAGACUCGUGGCGAGAUAAGGGUCGUAUUGAUGUAAAAAUUUCUGAAUUUCGAGACGUGGGCCCGGGGCUCGGGUUUUGCUAAUUUCAAGAUUUUCGACAUUUUUUGAGUCUUUUCGAUUGGGUUAUAUUCCCUUGGCCUAUUGUAACAUAUUCGUUGUGGUUUUGACUAGAUUCGACGCGCGAAGAGGUCGAUUCAAGAGGAAAGGGCAUUGCAGACUAGUCUACGGCCGGUUAAAGGUGAGUAAUAGAUGUAAAUACUAUUCUGAGGGUUUGAAACCCCAGACUUUCACAUCGUAACACUAUAUUGAGGCGUCACACGCAUUCCAUGGUGAGUGCGGGUCGGAUACUAUUGGGGAUUGUGACUUGGUACAUCCCGUGUGAUGUUUAUACUAUACUGGUGAUUGAUACACACACUUUAUUGAUAUUACUGGGCUUGAUGCCAUGUUUGGGGCCUUGUGCCGAUUUGUAAAAUCCUUCGUGGAUUGAUAUUACUGCUUAGCAUGAUUUGCAUAUCAUUUAAUUUCAGUCCAAGGUUUUAAAUGCUGUUUUGCAAACUCAGCCAUAAUUCUAAGUGUUGAAAACAUAAAUGAUAUUUUUAAAUGUAUUCCGGGCUGGGAACUUCUGUUUUGUAAAUGCCCAAGGGGCUUAUUAUAUUAUUUUCUAGACUGAUUAUAAAGUGACUUGAAACAGUGGUAACAAUGACACUGUGUGAUAUACUUGAAACAGUGGUAACAAUGACACUGUGUGAUAUACUUGAAACAGUGGUAACAAUGACACUGUGUGAUAUACUUGAAAUAGUGGUAACAAUGACACUGGAUGAUAUACUUGAACAGUGGUAGCAAUGGCACUGUAUGAUAUAAAUUGGUCAGGUAACAAUGACUGACCGGUCAGGUAAUAAUGACUGACCAAGAUAUUGCGCUUGGGCUGUAGGAGCCCCUCCGGAGUCUUUACACACCCUCAGUGAGCGCCGUCGACGAUAAAUAAAUAUGGAUGGCUCGGGCUGCACGCCGCAGUGGGUACUGGAAUGUACCAUCAUAUGCAUUGCAUUGCAUUCAUGUAUUUGUAUUUAUACUGGUGUUUAGCUGCUCAGUUCCAUAUGUUGCUGUAUAUUUGGAUUUUAGCUUACUUUGUGUAUUUACUGGAUUUUUUUAUCUUCGGACUGUAGUUACUUUUAUUACUCACUGGGUCGGAGUACUCACUUUACCCCCUACACCUUGUGUGCAGAUCCAGGGCAGUCUCAGGCUCAGUAGAUCCAGUUGAUCAGCAGAUUCAGCCUCUGGGGCUACACGGCGUUCGCAACCAUUGAUCUUCUCCCUCCUAUCCUAUCUCUUUAUUUCCGCAUUAUCAAACUUUGGAUAUACCAUGUAUUAGGAUGAUAUUCUGUAUUCUAGAGGCUCAGAUUUGUGACACCGGGUCCUAGUGAGAUUAUAUUGUGUAUUUUGUUAAAAUCUUCAGUACUUUAAUCUUGCUUAAUUGAUACUUUUUUCCG